rnacentral:rRNA from 1 species
UGGGGAAUAUUGCGCAAUGGGCGAAAGCCUGACGCAGCGACGCCGCGUGAGGGAUGAAGGUUUUCGGAUCGUAAACCUCUGUCAGAAGGGAAGAAACCGCACUGUGCUAAUCAGCAGUGCCUUGACGGUACCUUCUAAGGAAGCACCGGCUAACUCCGUGCCAGCAGCCGCGGUAAUACGGAGGGUGCAAGCGUUAAUCGGAAUUACUGGGCGUAAAGCGCACGUAGGCUGCUUUGUAAGUCAGGGGUGAAAUCCCACGGCUCAACCGUGGAACUGCCUUUGAUACUGCUUAGCUUGAAUCCGGGAGAGGGUGGCGGAAUUCCAGGUGUAGGAGUGAAAUCCGUAGAUAUCUGGAGGAACAUCAGUGGCGAAGGCGGCCACCUGGACCGGUAUUGACGCUGAGGUGCGAAAGCGUGGGGAGCAAACAGG